GACAGUGCAAAUAGGAAGUGGAGAACAGAUUUGAUUAACCGUACCUUUUAAGAGGAAGCUGCUCAGAAGAUUUUGCAGAUCCCUAUCGCAGAGACCGAUCAUGAAGACACGUAAGUUUGGCAAGGAGAGUUAUCGGGUGAAUUCACGGUACGCAGUGCGUAUAAUGCUAGCCUGGGUUCUAGGAAUUAUUUAUUACAGACCGAAAUGAAAGACUUUUACAGAAAGUUAUGGAGCCUACAAUUACCCCCUAAAAUUACAAUCACUAUUUGGAGAAUCUCCAGGGAUUUUAUCCCGAAUUUUGCUAAUCUCCAGUACAAAAGAGUAAUUUCAAAUGAUGGAUGCCCCCGAGGCUGUUCCUGGGUAGAAGAUAGCCCCCAUUUCUUCCGUGACUGUCCUGCAACUAUAGCAUGUAUGGGGAUUAAUACAUUUACAGUGGGUGGUUAAUAAUAUGAAUCAAAGUAUGUGGGAGUGGCUAACCGGGGUUUUUAAGAGAGGAAACGACAUCCAAUGUAGACUUUUUUGUUAUACUUUAUGGCUAAUAUGGUUCUCCAGGAAUCAGUUCGUGCAUGAAAGGAAAAACACAACCAAUAGAGAGUUAGCGCAAAGCAUACAGAGGUCUCUGGCAGAACAUGAAGUGGUCAGAAAAAUGAAAAGACCUGUAAAUAUGAACAGACCUUUUAGAGUCUAAGAAGACAUGCCGAGAACGACGAUCUAUUUUGAUGGAGCAUUUGAUAGUAGUAGCUUCACAUCUGCGACGGGUCUGGUGGUUCGCGAUAUGACGGGGAAUCUCAUGGCCUUAAAGUCCAUCAUUCACAACAAUAUUUCCUCCUCAUUUGCAGCAGAAGCACAUGCAUGCUUAGAGGGUAUAAAAUUAGGGAUUUCACUAGGUUUACAAUCGGCAACAAUCAUGGGAGACUCUAAAACAAUUAUUAAGAAAUCCGAAACGACUUCACCGGAUAAAUCAGUGAUUGGAGCCAUUAUCAAUGACAUCCAGAACAGAAAAAGGUGUUUUCAAGAGAUUAUUUUUCAGCAUAUUCACAGAUCGGGGAACUCAUAAGCACAUAGAAUAGCAAAAACUGCGCUUGUUGGAAGGGAGUCCACUUACCGGAUGGGAGAAGAUUUGAAUCGGCACGAGUUUGCUUCUGAGAGGCACUGGCAAAGGAACCCAGACUGAAAGAGUUUUUGAGGGAAAUAGAUUAUCAAAGGAUGGUAGCAGGUAUAGAUUAUUUUGGUUUUUGGAAACUGCUAGGAUGGGAUUUUGAAACGACAACUCAAGAAUUUAGUGGUAUCCAGCAGUUCUUACAUUGACUGGGGUAGAUAUUUUUUAGGUUUCCUCUUUUUGGUAGUCAUGUUUCAUUUGCUGGUUAGAAGACAUUAUUAUCAUGCCAGAUAAUGAGGCCGGCUUUUUGGUCUUCUUUAGUUUAGUGUUGUAAUGGGCUUGGGUCUAAGGAUCUCUUGGGUCUCAAGUUCUUUUCCUUUUCAUUCUAAUAAAAUCCCCGGUCACUUAAUAUCAAAAAAUAAUAAUAAUAAUAACAUUGAUUUAAAAUUCGAUCUCAAAAC
rnacentral:lncRNA from 1 species